rnacentral:rRNA from 1 species
CCUACGGGAGGCAGCAGUGGGGNAAUUUUGGACAAUGGGCGAAAGCCUGAUCCAGCAAUGCCGCGUGCAGGAUGAAGGCCUUCGGGUUGUAAACUGCUUUUGUACGGAACGAAAAAGCUUCUCCUAAUACGAGAGGCCCAUGACGGUACCGUAAGAAUAAGCACCGGCUAACUACGUGCCAGCAGCCGCGGUAAUACGUAGGGUGCGAGCGUUAAUCGGAAUUACUGGGCGUAAAGCGUGCGCAGGCGGUUAUGUAAGACAGAUGUGAAAUCCCCGGGCUCAACCUGGGAACUGCAUUUGUGACUGCAUGGCUAGAGUACGGUAGAGGGGGAUGGAAUUCCGCGUGUAGCAGUGAAAUGCGUAGAUAUGCGGAGGAACACCGAUGGCGAAGGCAAUCCCCUGGACCUGUACUGACGCUCAUGCACGAAAGCGUGGGGAGCAAACAGGAUUAGAUACCCUGGUAGUCCACGCCCUAAACGAUGUCAACUGGUUGUUGGGAAUUAGUUUUCUCAGUAACGAAGCUAACGCGUGAAGUUGACCGCCUGGGGAGUACGGCCGCAAGGUUGAAACUCAAAUGAAUUGACGGGG